rnacentral:rRNA from 1 species
GACAGAGGUGCCAAGCGUUAGGCGGAAUCACUGGGCUUAAAGCGUGUGUAGGCGGAUGACUAAGUAACUUGUGAAAUCCCACGGCUCAACCGUGGAACUGCUUGGUAUACUGGGUGUCUUGAGCCACUUAGGGGUUACCGGAACAAACGGUGGAGCGGUGAAAUGCGUAGAUAUCGUUUGGAACGCCAAUGGUGAAAACAGGUAACUGGGAGUGCGCUGACGCUGAGACACGAAAGCCAGGGAAGCGAACGGG